rnacentral:tRNA from 1 species
CCCGGGAUGGCCGAGUGGUUAAACGCUUGGACUUAAGUUCCAAUGGACAAAAGUCUUCGUGGGUUCAAACCCCACUCCUGGUA